AUGGUCAACGAAGGAUAUUCCUUCUAGCGGGAAGACCCGAUCAGACUCGGAAUCCCGGUUACAAGACAUCCUCGACAAUGGUAAAACUAAACCAGCAACACCGCCUGAAUGUGCCGACAAAUCCUGAUAGGAGCUGCACAUAUCUCUUUCUCAGGGCACACUCAGAUUGUCCAAGGUACGGCUAGGCCAGCCCAGAGUUGCCCCUGGUGGCCACCGGCAGCUCACAGGUUGGACCAACACUCAGAGGAGCACUNNNNNNNNNNNNNNNNNNNNNNNNNNNNNNNNNNNNNNNNNNNNNNNNNNNNNNNNNNNNNNNNNNNNNNNNNNNNNNNNNNNNNNNNNNNNNNNNNNNNNNNNNNNNNNNNNNNNNNNNNNNNNNNNNNNNNNNNNNNNNNNNNNNNNNNNNNNNNNNNNNNNNNNNNNNNNNNNNNNNNNNNNNNNNNNNNNNNNNNNNNNNNNNNNNNNNNNNNNNNNNNNNNNNNNNNNNNNNNNNNNNNNNNNNNNNNCUCAGGAGCGCGACUCCCAAGGGAAAAGAAAAGGGUAGGUGGCGAAUGGUAAAACCAAUGUUGGGCAUUGUUGGAAGAGUUUUAUUCAAGGCGAACUGUCAAGGGGUUCCCAUUAUACCCAACCGCGUAAGGAACGCAAAAUCCGGGAACAUAACACCGAUAUGACGAAAACUAGGGCGGCAAGAGUGGAACAAAACACCAGGCAUAAGGCCGAGCCUUCCACCCUUUACCAAGUAUAUAGAUGCAUUAAUUAAAUAAGAUAUAUUGUGAUAUCCCAACCAGUAAACAUGUACCAACAAGGAACAACAUCUCCAUGUUCCAACAAGGAACAAACUUCAAUCUUCACCUGCAACUAACAACGCUAUAAGAGGGGCUGAGCAAAGCGGUAACAUAGCCAAACAACGGUUUGCUAGGACAUGGUGGGUUAGAGGCUUGGCUUAACAAUAUGGGAGGCAUGAUAAGCAAGUGGUAGGUAUCGCAGCAUAGGCAUAGCAAAAGAGCGAGCAACUAGCAAGCAAAGAUAGACGUGAUUUCGAGGGUAUGGUCAUCUUGCCUGAGAUCCCGCAAGGAAGAAGAACGAGUCCAUGAAGAAGACAAACAGACGUAGUCGAACAGAUCCUCACAAACGCAACGUUAUCGGAACUAACCCGAAGAAGCAACACCGGAAAGAAGCAAACAACAUAGUAAACAACCAUCACAUAAGCAUGUCAUGAUGCACAACUAGUAUGAUGCAUGUCCGGUUUAAAGAGGGCAUGGUAUGGCAAAGUGCAACAAACAACACUACAAAUUAAGUGGAGCUCAAUAUGCAACGAGUUGUUAAUAUUAUAGAUUUGGUAAUAUUCUGCCCUAAACAUUAUUUUAGAGUUGUUAAACAUGCAAGAUGAGUGCACCAAGUAAAUCUAGGCAUUUUUCUACCCCAUUUACAUAUAAAGUUUGUUACAAACCGAGUUACGGUUAUUUGGUUAUGAAUUAAAGCAUUUUAACAUGGCAUAGGAGUAAAUCUACACAAACAACAAUUUAAACAUUUUAAACAUGGGUGAAAGUGACAAAUUAUUAAACUAGACAAAAUUCUAGACAUUUUACAUAUAAAGUUUGUUUUAAUCCGAUGCACCGUUUGUGAGUAAUUAUAUGUAUGAAGCUAGGGGGGGUUUUCUGUAAAACUGGCAAGCUCUGGAUAAAUAGGAAAUUCGGCCGCAAAAAAAAACAGGCACUCGGGCCGAAUCUAGCUGGACCAACAAGAAUAGGGGAUCUGGAGGGGAAAGCUCACAUUGGGCCUAGCAGGGGCGCACGGAGCUGGGCCUCGCGGGCGAAGGGAGCUGGGCCUGCGCCUUGGUGUUGGGCCGGACUUGCUGGAGGAAGCUCUGGGCCGGGGUGAGGGAAGAUGAGGCCCACGCACGGUCGCUGUGGCAUCAUGCCCGGUCAACGCGAGGCGCAGGCGAGCGGGCAAACUACUCGCUCUAAAGAAACAGCGACAACCACAGGUGAACACCGGCGCGAUUGCAGGGACUUAGCGAGGCGAUGCAGGCGAGGAUCAACGGCGACCGGACGCGGGAGUCGAGGGCGGCUUGGGACCACGUCGGCAGCGGCUUGCGGAGGCGCUUGGCGUCAGGAGGCGGGCUUGACAGGGGCGCGGUCCUCUGCUCGAGAAGAAGCAGAGCAGCAGCGGCCUUGAACUUGGGCGCCGGAGGUAGGGACAGGGCCUUGGAGCGGGAUCCGACCGGGAACAGGCAAGGGCGGCGGAGGCCGGCCGGAUCUGGUGGUGGAGGCGAGGUUCCAUGGCGGCGGAGCUCCAUCCCAUGGCCAUGGCGAGGCCCUUGUUCGUCCUGAAGAAAGAGAGACCGCGAGGUAAGGUGCUAGAGAGAGAGAGAGAGAGCAACGGUAGAGAGAGAGAAAUGGAGGCGAGGUUGGCCUGGCAGGGGUGGUCUCCGACGAGGCCGGCCGGCGACGAGGUAAGGCGGAGGCGCUCGGGAGGAGCUCGUCUCCCUGGAGAGCGAGGAGGGAGAGGAUCGAUGGGCUUGGAGUGGAUCGAGGGGAAGCAGAGGCUGGCGCUGGUUGGCUGGAUUGGAUCGGGGGAAAGAAGCUGGUUGGUGGAAGGAUCCCGAGGGGGAUUUGGUGGAAUGGGGGCGGCGGCUGGGAGGAUGGGACAUCUCUCCUCAAAUUUAGGGUUGGACUAUAUAUUUAUAGCAUAUGGGUGUUUGGCUAGGGGCUAAUCUGGAUCCUUCGAUCGAAAUCGAGCGGUUGAGAAAAAUAGGUUAGGAAGUCUAAUAAACAAAACGGAGAUGUUUUGUAGACGUUUGGGGAUGUUCCGGAUCCAACGGUGACAACUGUCCGGUUCGGGUCCGGGACAAAUUUCGGACGCGCACGGGAGGAGGCUGCGGGCCGACGAGAGAGGUUAGGUUGGACCUGGCGGUAGGUAGUGAGCCGUGUAGAUGGUCUCGAGCUGAGAGAAGAGAAGAGAGGGAGGCCGGGCGACUGUUUCCGGAGACCGAAAACGUCCGACGUUUUGACCGACUAUAUUGUCGCUAUAGUUAACGGUUGGGGCAUCAAACGAACUCCGAAUGCGACGAAAAUUGACAGGCGGCCUACGUACAACAUAACAACACCACAUGCCAACUUUCAUCCCAUUCUGAGAACAUUUUCCAGCCACUUAUAAAAUAAUAUUUCGGACAUGUCGCGGGCGCGUGCAAGUGUGUCUGGGCUCAGAACGGACAAAGGACGGAACUGGGGGAACCCGGACGGAUGCAAGUUUUGAAAACAUGAUGAUGCAAUGCACAUGAUGACAUGACAAGAUGCAACACGCGAGCUAAUGACAUGGCAACGACGGUGAAUAACUGGAGGACACCUGGCUCAACGGUCUCGGGGCGUCACAACACUCCACCACUACGAGAGGAUCUCGUCCCGAGAUCUAGAAUGGCACCGGAGGGAAAAACGAAAGAGCAAGAGAAGAGAUAAAACUAAGUUGCUUCUUUGACAAACGAGUGAAACCAAAGAACCUUGAAAAGGUUAAGCCCUUUCAAGAAAAGAAUACAACGAAGAUGAGCGAAGUUGAAAAAAACUCCGUUAGAAAAGAGAAACAAGGAAGAACAACUUCGGGCAGCACUCCGAUUGAAAGGAAAAGGAAUUGAAUAAGAACUUGGCAAGAUGAGAGGAUACUUGAUGAGAUCAAACAUACUCCCUCCGGAACUAUUUAAAGAAUGGUACUAGGGGUAAGAACGAUUUGAGACGGCACUCCGGUUGAAAAGUGAGGCAAAACUUGAUAAGAUGAGAGAACUUGAAAAGAGGGCACGAUACUCCGGUUAAAUGGACACGCACGAACAAGAUAUUUGACAAAACGAGAUGAUGAGUGAAUAUAGCAACAAUACAAAGCCUUCGGAAUGAAAUAAAAGAGUGGAGUGGAAUGAACGAAGGGAAACAAGAUCUUUGAGAGAGCACGCUUACAACAAAAGCUAGAACGGAGUUGUUAGAAAACCAACAACAAAAAGAAUAAAUUUGAUAUGGUCUUAUGGAAUACAUCUCAAAUUAUGAGGUGACAACCUGCCACUCACGGGAAAGAAUUUGAUUGAUAAGAACAAGGAGACGAGAACUUAUUUCACCCGUAGGAUAAAUGAAGAACUUGGAUCAUAUAUGAGCAACAUAAAUAGCGACAAUCCUUAGGAGAAGCUUUAGGUGAAGUAUAGCCCAAGAUGACUCCAAUGAAGAGGUUGAUCUAUUUAAGAUAUCUCAAUCUUGACAACAUGUGAAUCAAGAACCACAUAGGGGAAAUCAUCAAGAAUAACAUAACACCACCUAAAAUGAUACGGUAUAACGAAAUGGACUUCAGAUUGCAAGAUGAAGAAUGCUUGAGCUCCUCUGAAAAUAAUCUCGAUGGACACUUCGAGAAGGAAUUAUGUCCUUGAUGAACCAACAUGUAGAGCCUCCAUGACGAACUCCGGUAAUAAAAGAAAUGAUCAAACGAAAUGAAAGAGAAGUUGAAACACAAGGUGAAGACUUGCAAUGAUUAGAUGGAUCUUCAUGAUGAGAAAAAUUGAGAGAGCUUGGAACUCCGGGAAAAGAAAAGAUAAGGCAUUUCGAACCGAGAAUGUGAUAAGAUGAACCUCCGGAAUAAGGAAUUAAUCACUUGGAUGAAAACAAGAAUAAGAAUUAUGUUACGCGUAUCCUUCACCAAUUUAAAUUGAUGACAAGCAACAGAUUGCAUACAACUUAUUCUCAUAGAAAGGAUUAAUAUAGAUAUAGUGUCAACUUGGAAAGGUCUUCAACGAACCACCGGUAGGAUUGAAACAACGAAUAAAUUGAUAUGAUACACGAAGGAAGAAGAAUCUUGAAUGAACCACCAUAGGAAUUGAAGAUGAACGAAGUAAAAAGGAUGAAUCACCGGGUAAGAAUUGUGAAAUGAACGAAGAUACUUGAAGGAAUUUAGAUACAAGAGAACGAAUAGAUCAUGAGCUAAUUAGAGGAUAUUUGAGCGAUGCACCGGUAAUAUUUGGAGAAUGAUAGCUGAAAGCUAAGAAAGAAUAAAUUUGAGAUGAUGGGCUCCGGAUGAUCAAACUGAAAAAUACUCCUGAAUUUGCUCCGGAUAGGUGAAAAGAAUUGUCACAAUCGAAAACAAUUAUGAUAGGAUGGCAUAAAGCUAGAAUCACGAAUCUUGAAGAGAAUGGAGCAAGAUUUAAGAGAAACUCGGUCUUCAAAAUCUGAGAAUGACGACGAGAAACACCACCAAUAAUUAUUGAGGUACUCCGGAAUGAAGAAUGGAAAGGUUGAGCCAACGAUGAAAAGAAUUUGGAAGAUCUUGGAGAAACCCUCUAACUGAUGAAUAUUCAUUCUGACGUCAAACUUUGAAAUGAAUUUGAGACUAACUCCGGGAGAAUAAGAAGAGUCAGGUAAGAUCCUGGAAAAAGACCUGUGGGUUAGGGCCCACUCAAAAGAAAGAUCGUAUAACGAUUUAAAAGAGAGAAUGCAACGGUUGAAUUAAAAGGCUAGAAUGAGAUAACAACCUCGAAAUAGGUUGAACUGAUCUUGGAAGACAAGACGAGCCUUCUGAGAUAUCUUCAGCACUCCCGAACAAAUGAAUAGCGAGAAGUAAAUUAUUAUGAGGUGCACCGGUAUGAGAAGGUAUUAGAAAGGAGAAAAAGGAUAUGAUCAACAACAAAACUUGAAUUGAAUCCACCGGAGGAGAAAACGAGUUAAGAGUGACGAACUUGAAGCUCUGUUAGAAUCUUCGUGAGAAUCACCGGAUACGAACAUUGAAAGGAAAGAAAUAAGAGACUUCACAUCAAUAAAAUGAUGCUUGAUUGAGAUAUAUGAGUCCUCGGAGAAAAGCAAGGGAGGGAGGGCGAGAAAAAACAAAGGCAAGUUGGGACGGAUACAACAAACACCGCUGAGAAGAACUGAUAAUUGAUCUUGCGGAUGUUGAAAUGAUCGGAUCCACUUGAAGAGAAACACGCCGGUUAAAAAGGAUUGACAAAACAAUCUUGAUGAUCAAGAAGGAUUGGUAUUCACAUCGGAGUAUGAGAACACCAUUUGGGGAAGGUAUGGAAUCAACAUUUGACUUCGAAGCAACUCGAAUACCACAACUCAAAACAAAAACAAAAGGAUUGGCUUGCAAAAUAAGCCGGAACAAACAUAUGAUAGAGAUUUCGUCCAAAAUUUUCGUGGUGGGGCCUACACGGGCUCGAUCGUACAGCACCAUCAUGUACAAGGCAGUGCACAUGACAUACGAAGCGUCCCCGAGUCGGCAUAGCCAAGGACUCUUUAAGACACAACGAGACCACUGUAAAACCAACCGUGGAUAGGCGGACUACUAGACGUCGAACCCCAAUUUCAUAUCAUACAUCUGUCGGAAAUAUAUCCUAAGAGCUACUUGAAUUCCCACUUAUAAACUCCCGAAAUUUUCCGAUUAUGCAAUCAGGUGUUGGGGAUACAGGGGAAGCAUAAUAUCUCACCCAAAACUAGCAAAUUCUACAUCCAGCUGUAUCCAUCCUUCAACACAUAACAAAGAAACCUUCGAAAAAUCAUCUACCUCAACCUUCGAAAAGCAUCCGUUAUACGAGUUAUGGCAAUACUCCCGAACUCCCGCCCCAGUACUGGGUGGCGUCGAGGUUAUCUCACCAACAACUGCAUAAAAGAGAUUUUCGAUGUCGGCGAAACUAAACUCAGGUAUUCCAGAAUUGCAACGAUAAAAUUGUGACGACAACACCUCGGAGCUCAACUCCCCGGGACACUGCCACAACCCCUAAAUGACAGGAGGCACCAAGAACAAUGUUCUCGUCACAAAACCAUCGGAACGAUUCCAAGAUACCCGCAUGAUCCUAAAUUUUUUUAGUGAAAUUUGAGAAGAGAAGAGUCAAAACUCUACGUCAGGAUGCCUUACCAGAGCGAUGAGGGGACUGGGGAGUAAAAAGAAUUCCUAAACUCUCCGAUAUAUAAUGCCUAAAUGACUCAAAACAUUUUUCUAGACUCAACAACGGCUGCUAAAUACGAUCAAGCAGUGGGGGCUCCUAAGGCCGGGGAAGGCUCUAAUACCAACUUGUCACGCCCUCGAUGCAGCUAUGUCUCCCACGUGUCGAAGCACGACUUAGAGGUAUAACCGCAUUGAAAGCAAUGUCGCAAGUGAGGUAAUCUUCACAACAACCCAUGUAAUACAAUAAGGGGAAAAUGAUACAUAGUUGGCUUACAAUCGCCACUUCACACAAAUACAUGAAUAAAGCAUUACAUCAUCCAAAUACAAUCAGGGCCCGACUACGGAGCCAAAAUAAAAGAAGACUACCCCAAAUGCUACACAGAUCCCCGAUCGACCCCAACCGGGCUCCACUACUGACCAACUAGAACGAAACAACAUAAAGGACAAGAUCUUCAAUGAGCUCCUUCUGAGCUUGGUUGCGUCAUCUGCAUGGACUCAUCGGCACCUGCAAGCUAGUUUUGGAAGUAUCUGUGAGUCACGGGGACUCAACAAUCUCACACCCUCGCGAUCAAGACUAUUUAAGCUUAUGGGUAAGGUAAAGGUAUGAGGUGGAGCUGCAGCAAGCGACUAGCAUAUAUGGUGGCUAACAUACGCAAAUGAGAGCGAGAAGAGAAGGCAAAGCACGAUCGAGAAACUAUGAUCAAGAAGUGAUCCUAGAACAACCUACGUCAAGCAUAACUCCAACACCGUGUUCACUUCCCGGACUCCGCCGGAAAGAGACCAUCACGGUAACACACGCGGUUGAUGUAUUUUAAUUAAGGUCAACUUCAGGUUUUCUACAACCGGACAUUAACAAAUUCCCGUCUGCCCAUAACCGCGGGCACGACUUUCGAAAGUUCAAAUCCCUACAAGGGUGUCCCAACUUAGCCCAUCACAAGCUCUCACGGUCAACGAAGGAUAUUCCUUCUAGCGGGAAGACCCGAUCAGACUGGGAAUCCAGGUUACAAGACAUCCUCGACAAUGGUAAAACUAAACCAGCAACACCGCCCGAAUGUGCCGACAAAUCCUGAUAGGAGCUGCACAUAUCUCUUUCUCAGGGCACACUCAGAUUGUCCAAGGUACGGGUAGGCCAGCCCAGAGUUGCCCCUGGUGGCCACCGACAGCUCACAGGUUGGACCAACACUCAGAGGAGCACUGGCCCGG
rnacentral:lncRNA from 1 species